GGGGGUGGGGGAGGGGAGGAAGGGAGGGUAAAUAGGAGAGGUAUAGAGAAAAAGAAACGCAAAAGAAAAGAAACACAGAAGCAAAGAAAUAUAGAGAAAAAGAGAUAAAGGGGCCCGGCCGGCCGCAACCUCCCGCCCCGAGCGCCGAGCAGCAAAUGGCUCUGCCCGGCCCUCCCCGCCGCUUAAAUCCCCCCGGCCCCGCCCCGCGCAGGCGCGCUGGGGCCCCGCGCACCUGUGCGCGCACCUGUGCUGGCCCCGCCCCCCCGCCCCCCGCCCGUAAAUGGCGGCGGAUCCGCGCCCGCCUCACAUUCUGCGGGGGAUGCUCGGCCGGGCUGCGGCGGGACCGGCGCUCGGAGCGCCGUGCGGAGAUCGGAUCGGGGCUGCUCCCGGCGCUGCGCGGCGCCCGACGGGCUCAGGUGCGACCAGGACUGGGAUCCGGGCCCGGGGAUUUGGGCCCCGGUCCCGCCGGUGGCUGCUGUGGGAGCCGGGCAAAGCCGCUCCUUCCUCGGCGGGCAGGGUGGGGGUGCCGGGGCCGGAGGAUCGGGGCGGGAUCGGGGCGGCGAUCGGGACCGGCACCGCCGCUCCGCCGGGGCCGCCGCUCCCGCUCCGCCUGCGCCCGGUGCGGGGCUGCAGGAGCCCGGAGCCCCCGGAGGGCAGAGAGCACCUCCGGUCCUUGGCUCGGCAGGGCAGGAGCUGCCGUGCCCGGCCCGUGGCUCGCAGCGUGACCAACGCACGGCCCGGCACGGGCACCGGGGCACCGGACAGCGCUGGCACGGACGCGGCUCAAGGGCUGCCCGUGGCUCCUCAGCCGGGGGCUGCUCCCCACAGGCACGCAGGGAUGCUUCAGCCCGGACAGACGGCACCGACAGCCCAGAGGGACCCCAGGGAACGGCUGGCAUCACCUGGGAACGGAGGCACGGCCGUUUGCAGAGGGGCUCUGACAGCAAUCCCCGUUUCUGACCUCCCCGAGCUCCCACACAGCUGCCAGAUACUAAAUGCCAAGCCAUAGCCUCGGAGAUGCCUUAAAAUCAGAGGUUCGAGUGCAAUGAUGUCUGGAGAUUUCCAGGGAGCCAGCUGGAGGUGCAGAAGUGAUGGAAAACUCUCACAGGUGGGUCCCACUGGAGGUGUGCUGCAGGCAGGGAUGUGCAUCCCUUUCCUGAGGGAAAAGGACAUGCAGAGGCCACUGCUGAGGCUCUGAAAGGAGCGGAGCUUCUGCAGGAGAGAUGUUCUGCCUCAGCACAGGCCGGGAGCGCAUCCAGCCACCGCCUUGUCCUGCUUUAAAACAUCAGCUGGAGCCUGAGCUCCGGGGGGUGAAAUCAGCUGAGUUCCAGGGAACUCUGUCAAGUGACUCCAGACACAGCCCUGGGCUGGGGGAUGAGGGUUUUAAAUAGCAAGUUCUACAGAAUAGAGACCUGUCCUUGUCCUGAUCCCACUGAGCUUCCCUGGAACCUCUGCUGGUUCCUGACACAGCUGGUGCUAAAGUGGCAGCUCUGCCUGGGAAUUUCCACUAUCCACGAGGCACCGUCAGGUUAUUCCAGCAGGAAUUCAGCAGGGAACCUGGGGCUGUGGGCAUAUUUCAUCUGUACUAGCAAAGCUGAUACUGAACCCCAAAUCCAGGCACCACGCAGAGAACAAUCUUUGUGCUAAAUCCCCUGGGUGAGGAAGUUUCAGCAGCCAAAUGUAUAGAAUGAUCUAAAUCCCAGCAGCCAGCAUCCCCCAGAGGGACAAUCCAAGUGCCAGGGUGGGAGCCCUUGUCCUUCCCCUGCUGCUGGUGGGACAAAUUCCCCUCGGCACAGCUGGCUGGGCAGGAGCUGAGAGCAGGAGGGGCGGGAGCAGGGAUGGGAGAUGAGGCAGCUGGAAUGUCACCUGGAGCAGCUGAACACGUUCUGUCCCUGUAGGAGCCAAAGCAGAUCCCUCCUGGCUGGGCUGGAUGGGGGAUGAGGCUGCUGGAAUGUCACCUGGAGCAGCUGAACACGUUCUGUCCCUGUAGGAGCCAAAGCAGAUCCCUUCUGGCUGGGCUGGAUGGGGGAUGAGGCUGCUGGAAUGUCACCUGGAGCAGCUGAACACGUUCUGUCCCUGCAGAAGCCAAAGCAGAUCCCUCCUGGCCGGGCUGGAGGGCAGCUGCUGCAUCUGCUCUGGGGAAAAACUCCCUGCCCCUGCCAGGAGCGCUGACUCUGCUUUUCCUCCAGCUCCUGAGCAGUGUCAGGGCCACCGGGAGGGAGUUCAAACCCAAAAAGUCCCCACAGCCCCCAGAGUGAAUGAUCCCAGCAGAGAAACGCAGCAUUGAAAUAAAAAACUUAAAGCUCUGUCAAAAAGGCUGUGACAACAGUGCAGUGGGAUUCCCAGGAACCUUCUGGUUUGCUCUCGGAAUGCUCUUGGUUCUCUUUCAUGUGUUUUUAGUCCCUCAACGGGCAGCUUGUAGAAUUUAUUCUGGGACUUAGAGGUUGAGCAGGGUGGGCUCUGGAUUGACUUUCGCCUCCGGUGCCACUUUGUGCGAACACAACUUGGCCAGGCUGGGUGAACUCAUGGCCUCAGCUUUCCCCUCCAAAAUGUCCCUCACUUAUUUCCCUGCGGGUGAGCUGGGAUUUGGCCCCAGACUGUCACUCCUCACCUCCCCGUGCCCGCACAGUGUCCGUUCUGUUCCCCACAGAGCCCUGGGGACACCAGGGGGUCCCUUCGCCUUCUCCCGCCCCUUUCCAGCCCGAGGCUCCUCUGCCCUUGUCCCACACAGCACAGGGGCACAAAAGGGGAAAGGCUCCAGAAAACAUUUCUGCAAUUAACCAGCAAUUAUUUCAAUUCCCCAGUGAGAAGAACAUGAACUCACAGCCACCGAGGCCUGACAGGUUCCUGCAGUGAGAGCUCAGCGCUUGUCUGCAGAGGUGAGUGCAGCAUCUGAAAGGAAAAAAACACAGGGGAAAAAUGUGAUUUAUUUUGCUUCAAAGUUAUUUCAAGUUCUUAAAGCCCAACCAACUUUUCUCUUGAUUUUGGUCGGGUGAAACAGGAGCAGUGGGCAGAGGUUGUGCCUGAUGCUUUCUAGGGCAGAAAAAGUAGAUUAAACUCACCUUAUGUCAAGUAGUUAUUAAAACAGAUUUAUAGCUCUUUAAACAUAGCACCCUUUAAUUGCCAUAAUGUUUCUUCCAUGAGUUUAACUAAUUCUCAGUGUAUUUUAUAAAACUUAAAAUAACACCUCCUCCUCAUAAAAGAGACCCAUCAACCAUUAGACAAAAAGCCCUAGUGCCAGUCUCAUGCUUGCACAUCUAACAGGAGACCCUCCCCAUAACCAAACAAAAAAUCAAAAUAAUGUACCAAAAGUAGUCCUUACUAACAUUAAAAAUACAACUCAACCAUAUCCAAAAAACCCUCACCUUUAUUUCCUCCAAACACCAAAUACUCUUCAAAUUCUAAACAACAAAAACCAUCAAAACAUACUUCAAAUAUAGAAAAGCCUAACCAUAUAAAUAAAUAUUUGUCAAAGCCCACAAAAAUAUAAAAUAAUAUAAUCAAUAUCCUACAUUUAAAAAAACCCACUAUACAAAUUAGUACCAUUUGAAAUGUAACAAAUAAAAAUCUUUUACCAAGAAACAUAUCUCCCAAUAAAUAAAACCACCCUGUAAAGAUAUAAGUAAUAAUCAUAACUAAACAAUCUAAAAUUUCUCUAAAACCAAGACUUAAAAAACCUUCAAUAUUUAUAAAUAACAACCUUCAAUAUGUUAAGUAUUAAUAAAAUCAAAGUUAAAUUUCACUACAUUAAAGUGUAAAUAUUCUUAAAUUUUAUUUUAUUACUUUAAUAUUCUAUUAAAAUUAAGUUUAUUAUUCCUUGCUAUUAAAAUUCAUUCAGUCUAAAUUUAAAUGUUAUUAAAUAUAACUUCUCCUAAAUUUUAUUAAAAAUCAUUUAUCUAAACUAUACAAUAUAUGGUUAAUUUUCUUAAACAAAAUAAAACAACUCCAAUUAAAACAACUAAAAUAAAACACUAACAAACACCUACUCAGAAGUAAAAGAAAUACAGCGUGUUAUAUCAUCAAUUUCAUAAAAAAUUCUGUUCUUCAUUACAAUCUCUACUAUUUUUAUCUUUUAUAAAUAACACCAAAAAAAUAAUUACUAUUAAUAUCACACUAUUUUGAAAUUUUUACUCUAUUUCCUUAAUACAUAAAUAUUUUUUAAAAGUUAUCCUAACUUCUUCAAACACUUACUACUAACAUACUAAUUAUGUAAUAAAAAGAUAUUAAUUUUUAUAAUAAACAUUAUUUAUAGAAUAUUAUUAUAAUUUUACAACCAACUUUCUAUAAUCUCUUUAUAUGAUUAUCUAAAAGACACAUAAAAUUUCUAAAUCCUACUUUUUUGAUUCUCUAUUUAUACACCUCUUAAACCAAGUUAACUCUCUAACUAAUCUCUACACUAACUCUAUAAUUUAACCUGAUGUUAUCUCACAAUUUUAAAUAUUUUUCAAAAUUAAAAAAAAAGAAAAAUGAAAUUUCAUUAAAAACCUCCUCCAAACAUUCACUUUCCUCAGUUAUUACACAAACACUUUAAUAUAAAAUCCAACUACAACAUUAAUUUAUUUUUCUAAGUUUCACACUAAGUAAUCACUCUCUCAUACAUUUUCUCCACCUUCACACUCUCAAUAUCCAAAUCCAAAAUCACAAUCCUGUCUAUAACAACUUUCAAAUCGUUAAAAAAAAGUUAACUAUAUUCAAAGCAUCUCUAUUCUAGGAAAACUUCUAAAAUGUAAUUAAGCUUUAAUCCUAAAAUUUUUACUCUUAACUACUAUUUUUGAAAACAUUAUAUAAAAAUAUAAUAUAAAAACUAACAUCCACCAAUUAAAAUUUAAACUGUAACCAAACCCUAACUCUACCUAAAUAAAAUAAUUAACAACAAACCCAAAAACUUUCUACAUCAAAGAUAAAAUUCAAAUAAUUUUAACUUAACAAUAUAACUUUAUCAAUAUAACCAAUAAACUUAUUUUAAAAAUAAACUUAAGAAAUC
ensembl:lncRNA